rnacentral:sRNA from 1 species
GUUUCUGAAAGUGAGGUUCUGAGACCAGCCACUUCAGCAACACUUGAGAACUUGUUAGAAAUAAAAGUUCUCAGGCUCUACCACAGGCCAACUGAGUCCGGAACUCUAGCAGUUGAGCCCAGCAAUCUGUGUUUUUGCAAGGCUUCCCAGUGAUUCUGAUGGCCUUCACAUCUGAGAAGCAUUGUCACAGCGAAUCAUCCUCCAAACAGGACUGCAGCAGUAGCUUCCUCUUUAUUCUGUAAGACAUGGCUUGCAGUUUUCCUGAAAUGGAGUAACCUCACUCACCGCUUGAGUCUUGGCUCUCCUUCUCUCUCUAUUCAGGGUCCUCAGAAGUGGAAUACAGAGCAGAGGUGGGUCAGAAUGCCUAUCUGCCCUGCUUGUACACCCCAGCCGCCCCAGGGAACCUCGUGCCCGUCUGCUGGGGCAAAGGAGCCUGUCCUGUGUUUAAAUGUGGCAACGUGGUGCUCAGCACUGAUGAAAGGGAUGUGAAUUAUCGGACAUCCAGAUACUGGCUAAAUGGGGAUUUCCGCAAAGGAGAUGUGUCCCUGACCAUAGAGAAUGUGACUCUAGCAGACAGUGGGAUCUACUGCUGCCGGAUCCAAAUCCCAGGCCUAAUGAAUGAUGAAAAAUUUAACCUGAAGUUGGUCAUCAAACCAGCCAAGGUCACCCCUGCACCGACUCUGCAGAGAGACUUUACUGCAACCUUUCCAAGGAUGCUUACCACCAGGGGACAUGGCCCAGCAGAGACACAGACACUGGGGAGCCUCCCUGAUAUAAAUCUAACACAAAUAUCCA